AACGAACGCUGGCGGCAUGCCUAACACAUGCAAGUCGAACGGGAUCCUAGCUUGCUAGGUGAGAGUGGCGGACGGGUGAGUAACACGUGGGAAUCUGCCGUUUUGGUUCGGGAUAACCGCGGGAAACUGCGGCUAAUACCGAAUGCCCUCGAGAGAGGAAAGAUUUAUCGCCAGAAGAGGAGCCCGCGUCCGAUUAGGUAGUUGGUGGGGUAAAGGCCUACCAAGCCGACGAUCGGUAGCUGGUCUGAGAGGAUGAUCAGCCACACUGGGACUGAGAUACGGCCCAGACUCCUACGGGAGGCAGCAGUGGGGAAUAUUGGACAAUGGGGGCAACCCUGAUCCAGCAAUGCCGCGUGAGUGAUGAAGGCCUUAGGGUUGUAAAGCUCUUUUGCCAGGGAAGAUGAUGACUGUACCUGGAGAAUAAGCCCCGGCUAACUUCGUGCCAGCAGCCGCGGUAAU
rnacentral:rRNA from 1 species